UACGAAGGGGGCUAGCGUUGCUCGGAAUCACUGGGCGUAAAGCGCACGUAGGCGGAUUGUUAAGUCAGGGGUGAAAUCCUGGAGCUCAACUCCAGAACUGCCUUUGAUACUGGCGAUCUUGAGUCCGGGAGAGGUGAGUGGAACUGCGAGUGUAGAGGUGAAAUUCGUAGAUAUUCGCAAAAACACCAGUGGCGAAGGCGGCUCACUGGCCCGGUACUGACGCUGAGGUGCGAAAGCGUGGGGAGCAAACAGG
rnacentral:rRNA from 1 species